GCCAGGAAGCAUGGAAAGAACUUUCAUCUCAGUCCUGAAGGGUCCCCCUGGAAAUCAAAUCGAGCUUGACUUCUGAGUAAGAGAUGUGACCAGCACAAGAGAACAAGGCCAAGUGCUGAAAAACACAGUGACAUCUGAUGGUUUGUUGACCUGAUUCACCCGUCCCAUUUGGAUAACGCCUGUGGUGGCUGACAGCUGAAAAAAGUCUCCACAAAGAAUCUUGUCCUGAAGUCUCAACUGAGCACUUUCUGGAAACAGCUUGACGUUUCUAAUGUGAAAAAAAUAAUAACUCCGUCGCCUGGUGCUUGGAAAUGUAUAGGCUGGAAGUGAGGAGCAGAAGACGACGAGUAUCUUCACAGCCCCGACAGAGUGGACUUCCGGGGACGUCAGACCACUCACAGAGUGUGGGUGCCAACACUUCAGCAAACAAAUUAAGCCAUCGCAGCAAAGGGAAGGCAAGCUCUGAAUCAUGGAUGAAGGUCUAUUUGGAUCUCCUUGCCCUCUGCGGCAGCCCCCAUUUCCCAGCAGGGGGGCAUGGCACAGUGCAUGAUGGGUCUGAUCAUUCCCCGCCCCACCCCCCUCCUCCUCCACCUCCUCCAUGUCAUCAUUGUCAGCGCUAAUCUCAGAAUAAUCUCCCAGGAGCCAACAUGUACUUGUAGUCCUUGUCCCCAGGGGUCCAAAUGACUAAACUUCCAUUAUAGCUCCAGAAGCAUACAUAAUCUUUACUACACAAAAGGGCAUGCCAUUAAAGUCCUCUGCCCCUAGGGAAUUGAUUAGUGUGCCACCCAUCCCACCUCCAAUGUGACUUUCUUCAGAGGGUCAUGAGAACGCGUCCACGUCAGGACUCCCGAACUCCAAUCUGAGUCUUGUAAUACUCCUACCAAUUAGCAUAUGGAGUCCUCCCUCUUGGUUACAAUUUUGAAAUUGCUGGCUAGACUCCUACGGCCACACAUAAAUUGGCUUACUUCUGGAGGCUAUUUCACAUGUGGGGUUGGCUUUUAUUUGUUUGGAUUAAACCAUUAGAUUUUUCAAGUCUAUGUAGAGUACUG